rnacentral:rRNA from 1 species
CCCUACGGGGGGCAGCAGUGAGGAAUAUUGGUCAAUGGACGCAAGUCUGAACCAGCCAUGCCGCGUGCAGGAAGACGGCUCUAUGAGUUGUAAACUGCUUUUGUACGAGGGUAAACGCAGAUACGUGUAUCUGUCUGAAAGUAUCGUACGAAUAAGGAUCGGCUAACUCCGUGCCAGCAGCCGCGGUAAUACGGAGGAUUCAAGCGUUAUCCGGAUUUAUUGGGUGUAAAGGGUGCGUAGACGGGUAUAUAAGUUAGUUGUGAAAUCCCUCGGCUCAACUGAGGAACUGCAACUAAAACUGGAAA